rnacentral:piRNA from 1 species
AAACGUGUAGUGAAACUCAGGAG